CCCCAAAAGAGCGCCCCCCCAUGGCAGGAGAAAAAAGUCCAUUUUUUCUUGUCCCAUAAGGUGAAAAUUCACACUAUUGACUGUCACGCCUGUACGCUUUGUCAAAAUUACACAAAAAUUGACACACACAUGUAUCUCAAUAAGAUCUACAAAAAAGUCAGUGCUGGCGUAUCUGUCAAAUGUACGGUUAAAGGGUUAUUGCGCAUUUUUUGCCGAUUCGCACACAUUGGAAUUUCGCUAACUCCUCCGAAGGCUUUCAAUCCACCGGCACCACAUUUGCUCAGGCCAAUCUACACCCCAUGGCCAUUAAAAGUUAUUCAAAUCAUGACGCUGCACCCCACGGUUUAGGUUCUAGGGGGCGCCAAAGAUAACCCUAAAAUCCACAUAUUUAAAAGUCUUAUAACUUUUUAUUUUUGUCUUCUCUGGCCUCCAAGUUUUCUAGGAUGAUGCAAUGUCCAGCCAUCAACACAUUUGUGAAGGAAUUUUUACUCCCCAAAAGAGCGCCCCCCCAUGGCAAGAGAAAAAAGUCCAUUUUUUCUUGUCCCAUAAGGUGAAAAUACACAUUGUUGACUGUCAUACCUGUAUGCUUUGUCAUAUUGACACAAAAUUUGACACACACAUGUAUCUCAAUAAGAUCUACGAAAAAGUCAAUGCGCGCGUAUCUGUAAAAUGUACGGUUAAAGGGCUAUUUUGCAUUUUUUGCCGAUUAGCACACAUUGGAAUGUGGCUAACCCCUCCUAAGGCUUUCGUCCCACUGACACCAAAUUUGCUCAGGCCAAUCUACACCCCAUGGCCAUUCAAAGUUUUAAAAAUCAUGACGCUGCACCCCACGGU
rnacentral:lncRNA from 1 species